GCGGCCUAUCAGCUUGUUGGUGAGGUAAUGGCUCCCCAAGGCGACGACGGGUAGCCGACCUGAGAGGGCGACCGGCCACACUGGGAUUGAGACACGGCCCAGACUCCUACGGGAGGCAGCAGUGGGGAAUAUUGGGCAAUGGACGCAAGUCUGACCCAGCGACGCCGCGUGCGGGAUGAAGGCCUUCGGGUUGUAAACCGCUUUCAGCAGGGAAGAAGCGAAAGUGACGGUACCUGCAAAAGAAGCACCGGCUAACUAUGUGCCAGCAGCCGCGGUAAUACAUAGGGUGCAAGCGUUGUCCGGAAUUAUUGGGCGUAAAGAGCUCGUAGGUCGUUAGUUACGUCGGAUGUGAAAUUUUGGGGCUCAACCCCAAACCUGCAUUCGAUACGGGCUAACUAGAGUUUGGUAGGGGAGACUGGAAUUCCU
rnacentral:rRNA from 1 species